rnacentral:rRNA from 1 species
GGCGGCGUGCUUAACACAUGCAAGUCGAGCGGAAAGGCCCUUCGGGGUACUCGAGCGGCGAACGGGUGAGUAACACGUGAGCAACCUGCCCUAGGCUUUGGGAUAACCCCGGGAAACCGGGGCUAAUACCGAAUAUGACUUCUGGUCGCAUGGCCGGUGGUGGAAAGUUUUUCGGCCUGGGAUGGGCUCGCGGCCUAUCAGCUUGUUGGUGGGGUGAUGGCCUACCAAGGCGACGACGGGUAGCCGGCCUGAGAGGGCGACCGGCCACACUGGGACUGAGACACGGCCCAGACUCCUACGGGAGGCAGCAGUGGGGAAUAUUGCACAAUGGGCGGAAGCCUGAUGCAGCGACGCCGCGUGAGGGAUGACGGCCUUCGGGUUGUAAACCUCUUUCAGCAGGGACGAAGCGUAAGUGACGGUACCUGCAGAAGAAGCGCCGGCCAACUACGUGCCAGCAGCCGCGGUAAGACGUAGGGCGCGAGCGUUGUCCGGAUUUAUUGGGCGUAAAGAGCUCGUAGGCGGCUUGUCGCGUCGACUGUGAAAACCCGCAGCUCAACUGCGGGCCUGCAGUCGAUACGGGCAGGCUAGAGUUCGGUAGGGGAGACUGGAAUUCCUGGUGUAGCGGUGAAAUGCGCAGAUAUCAGGAGGAACACCGGUGGCGAAGGCGGGUCUCUGGGCCGAUACUGACGCUGAGGAGCGAAAGCGUGGGGAGCGAACAGGAUUAGAUACCCUGGUAGUCCACGCUGUAAACGUUGGGCGCUAGGUGUGGGGGGCCUCUCCGGUUCCCUGUGCCGCAGCUAACGCAUUAAGCGCCCCGCCUGGGGAGUACGGCCGC